rnacentral:snRNA from 1 species
AGGUCUCGCCAGGCUGACCU